CAUCAGCUGUAAAGUGUGGACGGUCCUGCCCACGUGGGUCAUCCUACCCAUGUGGGCUUGGCCUGGGCGCUGACGUCACACGCACAGAGAAAAGACCCAAAGCGCUCCGAGCAGCGAGCGAGCGCUCAGUACAGUCUGGCUCAGACCCCGGACAGUGGCUCUGUGUUGCGUAUAAUAUUAUAUGUCUUUUGUCUUUUUAAAGCGUCAAAGAAUGCUCAGCUAAUUUUAGCAAUCGUUUAUUUUAUUGUAUUCUGCAGGACGUUAAGUGUUGGUAUUUAGUUUGCGGUUAUCGAAACUAUAGUUGGACGCGGACAUGAAUGACAUCAAACUGGCUGUGCUGGGCAGCGAGGGAGUGGGGACAUCAGCUCUCAUCGUUCGGUUCCUGACGCGGAGGUUCAUCGGGGAGUACGCCUUGUUGACCGUGUCCCUGAGCCUUCAGCCUCCAACUGUGUCAUCCUGUGAUGGACGAGGUCAGAGGUCAGGAGAAUCCCAAGGUCAUGUGACGUGGGUCAUAUCAACAAUUAUGUAUCAAUUCAUUUUUUUCUUUUUCGCCAUAUUCAAUUUUUUAAAUAUAAACAUUAUUCCGUUGGUGCCAAAGACAAAAGUCUUAUCCAAUUGAUUUUGGAGACCUUUGCAUCGCUACUAUGACAAUUAUUAUUUUGAUUAUUAUUAUUAUAACUACUACUACUAAAGCUUCAGCUGUGUGUCCCAUGUGCAAUAGAGCACAUUUGUGUGCUUUCGAGAGGACGCCGGGAAAUCGAUUGUUGAUUACUGAAAGAAAAACAGAAGUGAAAUUGAUUAUCUUGAGUAAAGCGAGCUGCUUUUAACCGAAUGGGUGCAUGUUUACCAGCUGCACCUCAUUCCACCACCGCAAUGUGAUGAUACUAAUCUAUUUUAUAAACUAUUAUGUGAUUAUUUUAUGCUACUGUAAAUACACCAAUCCUUGGAUAAACCUGACAGUUUAUUCUUCGACGUAUCCCGUUGCUUUUUUAUCUUUUUUUAAUCAUGACGUGAUUUUUGCCUUUCUGAUUAGGCUCUGUGUUUUAUACCGAAUUUCAGAUUUUUGUUCGUUUAUCUGUUUUUUUCUAUGCUGCUAUCUGUUACACUGGUCAAAAAAUAACAUUCCCACUGCCAUUUAUCAAUAAAACUCCAUUCUAAAUGUUGUGAAAUUCUGUUUUGUCAUUCAAAAGUAGAAUA